GAUGAAGCGAGGAGGUGAAUAUGAAGAGGUCUACCACCCGUCAGUUUUACCGACAGUACUUCUCAGCGACAAAGGGAGUGUCCUGGCUGGCCCGCCGGUGUGCAGAACAGCAGCUGAAAAUACUGGAAGAUCUGAUGCAGUGGGAGGUGACACCGUCGACCUCGGAACGCUGAAUGGCUUCGAUCAUGUGUGACUGAGUAUUGGUGCGAAUCACCACGCCAGCAGGUAUUAUCUGCUGGCUUUUUUC
rfam:Leclercia adecarboxylata strain I1 Leclercia_S84_R1__paired__contig_27, whole genome shotgun sequence.